GGUCAUGGCUCAAUGGUAGAGUGCUCGCCUAGCAUGCAUGAGGCACUGGGUUCAAUACUCAGCACCA
rnacentral:tRNA from 1 species